rnacentral:lncRNA from 1 species
GUGUGAACAGCGCUGGAGGUGGUGUAGGUGCCUCCCCAGAUACAGACUGGGAUGCAAUCCACAGUGCUAGAUGUAUUGAUGUCUCAGUGGAAGAGAGUCUGUGUACUUGCUGAGCAGGUCAUGCCUGUGCUCUGGUGUCAUGCCAGCUUCCCUCAGAGAAGCAGCGGGAGCUUGCUGGGUCUUUCUCUCUGCCCAGAGGAAUUUACUUCAGCUGUCAGAUUUUUCAGUCCCACUGGGAGAAUCCAGAGAAGUUUGGAGAAACACUUGAGGUUGUUCCAGGGGCUGGUAUCUUGCAUCCAUACUGGUUCUUCUAGCUGGCUUACACUCCACUUGAGACAUAAGCAGGUGUUAUUUCCCUCUUGUCCUGGACUGCACUGGAAGAAUACCCAGACACAUAGGUCAGGGGGACCCUCAGCGUGUCCCUGAAGUCUAGACAUAGCCUCACUCUUUCACCUACCAUGGCUGAACUGCUACAGCCUGGUCUUAAGAUAAGCUACUGGUCAUCUUGUACCAAGAAAAGACUGGGAUGGGAAUUGUACUUCUCUGAAAACACUGUACUUGAGUCCUUCGUACAGCUGAUGUGUCCUGGCUCUGGAUCACUUUCCUGAUUACAGAUUCACUGCUCUGGAAUUGAAGCAUGUGCACUAACAUGCUGUAUUUUUUUAUAAAUCCAUAAAAAUAUCCUUUGAUAAAUACCUUCUUGAAUGUCAGUAAUUUAUAUAUUAAUUACAUUUCUGUCAAGCUAUUCAAGUUUUUUUCAUUUUCUAGUGCUAAUCUUGGAACAGAGUGUCCAGGGAGACAGACAAAGAAGAAUUUUGAGGUUUAUUUGUGAAAGCAUC